AUCAAGCUGACGAGUCCCAAAUAGGAUGAAACGUAUGUCGUGAAU
rfam:Schistosoma mattheei strain Denwood, Zambia genome assembly, scaffold: SMTD_scaffold0001923